rnacentral:rRNA from 1 species
UACGUAGGGAGCAAGCGUUGUCCGGAAUCAUUGGGCGUAAAGCGCGCGUAGGCGGCCCCGUAAGUCCGCUGUGAAAGUCAAAGGCUCAACCUUUGAAAGCCGGUGGAUACUGUGGGGCUAGAGUACGGAAGAGGCGAGUGGAAUUCCUGGUGUAGCGGUGAAAUGCGCAGAUAUCAGGAGGAACACCCGUGGCGAAAGCGGCUCUCUGGGACGGUACUGACGCUGAGACGCGAAAGCGUGGGGAGCAAACAGG